rnacentral:rRNA from 1 species
AACGAACGCUGGCGGCAUGCCUAACACAUGCAAGUCGAACGAGACCUUCGGGUCUAGUGGCGCACGGGUGCGUAACGCGUGGGAACCUGCCCGUAGGUUCGGAAUAACUCCCCGAAAGGGGUGCUAAUACCGGAUAAUGUCUUCGGACCAAAGAUUUAUCGCCUUUGGAUGGGCCCGCGUUGGAUUAGCUAGUUGGUAGGGUAAAAGCCUACCAAGGCGACGAUCCAUAGCUGGUCUGAGAGGAUGAUCAGCCACACUGGGACUGAGACACGGCCCAGACUCCUACGGGAGGCAGCAGUGGGGACUAUUGGACACUGGGCGAAAGCCUGAUCCAGCAAUGCCGCGUGAGUGAUGAAGGCCUUAGGGUUGUAAAGCUCUUUUACCCGGGAUGAUAAUGACAGUACCGGGAGAAUAAGCGCCGGCUAACUCCGUG